AGAGUGUAGAGUGUGGUGUUGAGUGUGGUCUGUAUGGUAUUGGGUGUAUAGUAUAGGGUAUAGGGUGCAGGAUGUACGGUGUGGUGUGUAGAGUGUAGGGUGCAGGCUAUAGGGUGGAGGAUGUAUGGUAUAGGGUACAGGAUGUACGGUGUAGCGUGUAGAGUGUAGGGUGCAGGGUAUCGGGUGUAGGAUGUACGGUGUAGGGUGUUGAGUGUAGGGUGUUGAGUGUGGUCUGUAUGGUAUUGGGUGUAUAGUAUAGGGUAUAGGGUGCAGGAUGUACGGUGUGGUGUGUAGAGUGUAGGGUGCAGGCUAUAGGGUGGAGGAUGUAUGGUAUAGGGUACAGGAUGUACAGUGUAGCGUGUAGAGUGUAGGGUGCAGGGUAUCGGGUGUAGGAUGUACGGUGUAGGGUGUAGAGUGUGGAGUGUAGGGUGUACAGUAUAAGGUGGAGGGAAUACGGUGUUGGGUGUAAAGAAUCACAUCUUGAUUGCUUGAUUUAAAGUACAUUGUGGUGGUGGAGUACAGAAACAAAAUGAUAAAACUGUGUGUCACUUUCCAAAUACUUAUGGACCUGACUAUAAUUUAUGUGGUGUUUUUUUUAUAGAGAUUAUAUGGUGUUUGAGGAAUAAUUCGAACGACCUGUCACCACUGAGCACACUUCUUAUCACUACAAUAGAACUGGAGUGAGUCCUACCGGGCACGGAUUGGUGGAAGAAGCUGUCCAUUAUUUCGCCAGGACACAGUGGGGGCGGGACUUCCCUCGACCUCACAUGGCAGUAUGACCGCUGCUCCCUCCUGCACUGUCGUGUUAAUGACCACAGCGUGCUCAUGUGCUCCGAGGAUAUGGGGCUUAGCUGGAAUAAAAAAUAAAAGCUGUGCUGCUUGCUGUGCAGAUAUAACGUCCUGAAUCUGCAGCAGUUGAGCUGAAGAUCAACAAACUCCCAUCAGACUGUGGGGGAGAGGAGACAAGCUCAUCACCCUGAGAGAGAGGGAGGGAGAGAGAGAG
ensembl:lncRNA